UUUAGUAAUAAUUAUAAUGCUAACAAUUCAUUGUGUCCAGAGUAAUUCUUAUUUGGAAAUGAGUAGCAUAGAGCUAUUUGGUAUGGGUGUAAUACAUCACUUGGUUAUAUUUGCUGUCAGUAUAAGUGGUCAAAAGUUUAGCUCACAGGGAAGGGAUUAGCCCCUUCUGCUCUGUGGACUCCCAGGUAUUGACCAUUCAAAAGAUUUAUAACUGUGCAAAAAGGACCUUUUCCUUCAUCAGAGGUUGGGUGGAGAGCAUCCUAAUGAUAAGCAUUAUUUGUUUGGAUCAAAUUUCAUAUACAUCAGUCAGGAUUACUAAUUAUUUAAUCGUCAGCAACAGUUAUUACUUACAAGGAGAUGAGGCAAAACAAAAACCUAAGUCAGUGUACCCACCCUCAAGGAAUUAAGGGACUAGUAGUGGGGUAGGAUAUCAUCAAAGAAACUACCAAAGAACAGCUUUUUUUUUGAGUUCUCAUCUUAGAGAUGGGUUCUCAUCUUAGAGAACUUUGAUUUUGUCAGUUAUUUAUAACUUUAAGUGCAUCACUAUCGUCUCCUCCAGAUUGAGCCUGCAAGAGCCUAAAAUAACAGUUUAGGACUUAGAGCACUCACCUGAGAUCUGAGUUUUGGGACUCAGAGAUUGUGUGACUCUAAAGAGAGAAGGAAAGGAAGGAGAGGGAGAAGAAUUUCAUUAUUAAUUUAACUACCAUUUACUGGGCCCCUGAGGUUUUAUUACUAACCAUAAUAGAGCAAUAACAACUGUUUACUGAGUGCUUCCUACAAAACUGGGUAGUUU
rnacentral:lncRNA from 1 species